UGAGUGGUGUUUGGUUUGUUACGGGUGGUUGGCUCUUUGCUUCCGCAACAACUUCUACCUGGCAUACCUCUUCAGUCUUGUGUCAAUGCUUGUAUUGCAUUGAAUGCACGGUGGGUUUCUUGUGUUGCAUGCCUAAUUUAAUGGUAUUGCUUGAUGAAUUGGUUUUCCUUUCGUUUUGCAUUGCCUAUGCGAUGUGAGAUGAACCUUGAAGCAGCCCCUGUGAUCCACUGAUUUGAUGCAUAUGCAUUGAUUUUGUGGCCCAUUGAGUGUUGCUCGGUCUCAUGGAUAUGGAACCUGGUGUGGGCAUGGAAUCUUAAUGGUUCCUUGUUUGCCCAAGUUUAGCUUUUCUAAAACGAUUGUCUAUCAUGUGUUAACAUGGUAGACUACUUC
rnacentral:misc_RNA from 1 species